UACGGAGGGUGCGAGCGUUGUCCGGAAUCACUGGGCGUAAAGGGCGCGUAGGUGGCCUGUGGAAGUCUGCGGUGAAAGCCCGGCGCUCAACGCCGGGUCGGCCGUGGAUACUCUCGGGCUCGAGCUUACUAGAGGCAGAUGGAAUUCCGGGUGUAGCGGUGGAAUGCGUAGAUAUCUGGAGGAACACCGGUGGCGAAGGCGGCAUCCUGGACCGGUAUUGACGCUGAGGCGCGAAAGCUAGGGGAGCAAACGGG
rnacentral:rRNA from 1 species